CCUCGAGUUCUCCGCUACCUCGACCAGUUCGGCAAGCCAAGGUCCAGUCCCUCGGCUGCCCCUUCUUCGGCCACCCACACCCCCCGGCGCCCUGCCCCCUGCCCCCUCCGCCAGGCCUGGGGCAGCCUCGACGCCCCUUGUCGGCCGCCUCCGCGCCGCCUUCGAGGCGAGAACGGCGGCCAGCCGAGGCUAACCCUUCGGCGCCCGCGCGGUCAGCGCUGUACCUGAGGGAGUCAGGGACACGCAGGCCAAGGCGAGGGGGAUCGCGUAUGAGAAGAAGAAGAGCGGAAGAAGCCCCCCGCCGCCGCCUUCCGCGAGUGAAGGCGGCGACGGCGGAGGCGGACGCUGGCGGUGGGGGAAGCGAGGGUAGUUUCGUGCUGGGGGGAGGGCAGUUUUGGGAAUUUUGGGAUGCGGGUCUGAGAUGGGGUGGAGCAGCAGGAGGUCGUUAUGCGCGGUUGUGGAGGCGGCCAGGGGAACGGGGGUUUUAUACCGCUCUCGGUGUUCCAUUAGCUAUGAUAAUUUUAGGGCUUUACUAAUUGAUGUUUUUUUUAGUCAAGAUGGAGCCUCUACCUACGAUUUUGUCAACACAGUUCGCAAGAGUGAAUAGUUAAGGAAUAAAUUUGCUGAUCAGUACGACUCAGAAAACAGUCUGUUGCACUGUUAGAGGUGGCAUAGCUAACUCAUGCUUAAGCAAUCCACAACUCCAUGUUAAUUCUUCUGUGUCCGGUUAGUCUGCUGCAAUUUAAAUAUAGACUUAUUUUCGCAGAUGAAUUUUCUAUCUUCUAGUUUUUAUCUGCCUUGUUGUUUGAAAUCUCUGAUACAGCAUUUGAAAUGUUAAAAGUAAUUGAGUUGGUCUAUUCUUUUAUAAUUUAUUUACUUUUAAUUUUCAGUGGUACGGCUAACUAUUGCUUAAGUAAUCCACAACUCCAUGUUAAUUCUUCUGUCUCCGGUUUGGCUACCGCAAUCUAAAUAUAUAAUUAUUUUCACAGUUGAAUUUUCUAUCUUCUAAUUUUUAUCUGCCUUGGUGUUCGCAAUUUCUAAUGCAGCAUUUGAAGUAUUCUCAAGUAAUUGAGUUGCGUGUUUUUAGUUUCUGUUGAUGUUAUUGAUGAAUGACAUGAUCACUGUCUUGCUUGUUAAUUAAAAUACACACACCGGCAAUUCCAUUUUCAUGCGAGUAUAAAAUGCUAAUAGGAUUUUUCUGAAUCGAGAGUAGAAAAGUUGGAGAAAUAUACAUCUUCCCUCCUGAAUUAAUUGUGCAUUCCUUCAAAGAAUUAUUUGUAUUUAGAGAAAUUAAGGAGGAGAGAAAUUUGUCUGAACGAGUCUUGCAAGCGAGUUUGUUUUUGGCUAAAACUAUGUAUAUAUUAAUCCAAUUCACACUGUUAAAUUCGUUAUCAAGUGGCUUUGCAUUAAUUAAAUUGAGAAGUUUAUAUAGCAGGAGUAAUUAAAGAGUAAUUAAAGAGAACAUGACGUAAAUUUUUCACUAUUAAAAUUAAAAAUAUAUUUAAUUGUCGGGUAAAUUUUUCACAAAUCCUAUGAACUUUAGGUUGUUUCUCGCAAAACCCUCCUGAAUCUCUUAUCAUACCACUAAACUUCACCUAAACUUUGGUGUGUUACAAAACUUUUCUAAACUUUCAAAAUAUCUCACCAUUAUUUUUAUAAUGCACCUUCUUUAUGUGUUUAUACGGGGUUGAACUUGAUAUAGUUUACAAAAAAUUUGUGGGGCACUCCGAAAUUCAGUGAAGAUCAGUAAGAGAGCAAAGUCCAAAGAAGUAUCGUGAGAAAUGCCCCCGGUGUUUUGCGAAUUUUACACCUUAAUUUAACUUUUCUCUUAUGGGAGCAAAUUGUAAAGUUUUCAACAGAUAUUUCAGUGUCACCUCGAUUAUUUUAUGAGAUGACUGAUGUGAUCUUUAAGUCAAAAGAAUCCAUAGAUUUACACCUUAUUUUAACUUGUCGCAAUAUGGAGCACGUUGAGGCCUUUGUGAUGGAACAGCCGUUGAAGUUAUGGGCUCCUGAAAGUUUGGCCAUAUCUCAGAUGAUGGAUUCGAAGUUGAAAUCAUUAGUUUUCUGAACUGCACAAACAGAGGAGAACAACUAUCAAAUAGCAUCGACAUAAAAAGCAUUCCGAAUUAACUGCAACCCAAUGUAUACUCUAAAGUCCCGCUGUACCAUUCCUCUCAUGUCAGUGCAGGGUUUUGCGAUCUGAGUACGUACGUGCCAAGAAUAAAAGAAUAAGUCACAUUUGCGUACAAAACCUUGGUUCUUUUUUCUCAGUUAAUAUGUGAAUUUGUGAUGUCUUAAUGGAUCAACAUGGUCUGCUACACUGUACGUAGGUGACAAGGGAAAGUAAUAUAUUUUUUUUUUAUUUGUGA